ACGACUGCUAAGACUGGAUAGGAAGAUAAAAGGCAUCUUUUAUCUUUUAAAAGACCUAGUAAUAGGUAUGCUUUAGGAGGGGCUUGCGCCAUAUUAGUUAGUUGGUAGGGUAAUGGCCUACCAAGACGAUGAUGUGUAGCUGGACUGAGAGGUUGAACAGCCACAUUGGGACUGAGACACGGCCCAAACUCCUACGGGAGGCAGCAGUAGGGAAUUUUCGGCAAUGGAGGAAACUCUGACCGAGCAACGCCGCGUGAAUGACGAAGUACUUCGGUAUGUAAAGUUCUUUUAUCAAGGAAGAAAAGCAAAUGGCGAACCAUUUGUUUGCCGGUACUUGAUGAAUAAGCCCCGGCUAAUUAUGUGCCAGCAGCCGCGGUAAGACAUAAGGGGCAAGUGUUAUCCGGAAUUAUUGGGCGUAAAGGGUGCGUAGGCGGUCUAGUAAGUCAGUGGUGUAAUGGCAACGCUUAACGUUGUCCGGCUAUUGAAACUGCUAAACUUGAGUUAGAUAGAGGCGAGUGGAAUUCCAUGUGUAGCGGUAAAAUGCGUAAAUAUAUGGAGGAACACCAGAGGCGUAGGCGGCUCGCUGGGUCUUAACUGACGCUGAGGCACGAAAGCGUGGGGAGCAAACAGGAUUAGAUACCCUGGUAGUCCACGCCGUAAACGAUGAGUACUAAGUGUCGGGUUAAACCGGUACUGAAGUUAACACAUUAAGUACUCCGCCUGAGUAGUACGUACGCAAGUAUGAAACUUAAAGGAAUUGACGGGACUCCGCACAAGCGGUGGAUCAUGUUGUUUAAUUCGAAGAUACCCGAAAAACCUUACCAGGUCUUGACAUGUUUUUGCAAAAUGAUAGUAAUAUCGUGGAGGUUACCAGAAACACAGGUGGUGCAUGGUUGUCGUCAGCUCGUGUCGUGAGAUGUUAGGUUAAGUCCUAAAACGAGCGAAACCCUUAUCGUUAGUUGCCAGCACGUUAUGGUGGGGACUUUAACGAGACUGCCAAUGAUAAAUUGGAGGAAGGUGAGGAUCACGUCAAAUCAGCAUGCCCCUUAUGACCUGGGCUACAAACGUGAUACAAUGGCUGUUACAAAGGGUAGCUGAAACGCAAGUUCUUGGCCAAUCCCCAAAAACAGUCCCAGUCCGGAUUGAAGUCUGCAACUCGACUUCAUGAAGUUGGAAUCGCUAGUAAUCGCGAAUCAGCAUGUCGCGGUGAAUACGUUCUCGGGGUUUGUACACACCGCCCG
rnacentral:rRNA from 1 species